GGCGAACGCUGGCGGCGUGCCUAAUACAUGCAAGUAGAACGCACAGUCUAUACCGUAGCUUGCUACACCAUAGACUGUGAGUUGUGAACGGGUGAGUAACGCGUAGGUAACCUGCCUGGUAGCGGGGGAUAACUAUUGGAAACGCUAGCUAAUACCGCAUAAUAUUAAUUAUUGCAUGAAAAUUAAUUGAUAGGUGCAAUUGCACCACUACUAGCUAGACCUGCGUUGUAUUAGCUAGUAGGUCAGGUAACGGCUCACCUAGGCGACGAUUCAGAGCCGACGUGGAAGGGUGAACGGCCACACUGGGACUUGAACCCGGCCCAGACUACCUCGGGAAGGCGCAGGAGGGAAACUUCGGAAACGGGGGAAAGGCUGAACGAGGAACGCCGCGGGAGUGAAUAAGGGUGUCGGGUUGGAAAAACCUGUUGUGAGGGAAGAAAAAGUAUGAGAGUGGAACGUUCACACGGUGACGGUAUCUUAACAAAAAGGGCCGGCUAACUACGUG
rnacentral:rRNA from 1 species